rnacentral:rRNA from 1 species
UACGUAGGGGGCUAGCGUUGUCCGGAUUUAUUGGGCGUAAAGAGCGUGUAGGCGGCCUGGUAGGUCUGCUGUGAAAACUCGAGGCUCAACCUCGAGAUGUCGGCGGAAACCAUCUGGCUAGAGUCCGGAAGAGGAGAGUGGAAUUCCUGGUGUAGCGGUGAAAUGCGCAGAUAUCAGGAAGAACACCGGUGGCGAAGGCGGGUCUCUGGGCAGUAACUGACGCUGAGGAGCGAAAGCGUGGGGAGCGAACAGG